UACGUAGGGGGCAAGCGUUGUCCGGAUUUAUUGGGCGUAAAGAGCGUGUAGGCGGCCAGGUAGGUCUGCUGUGAAAACUCGAGGCUUAACCUCGAGCUGUCGGCGGAAACCAUCUGGCUAGAGUCCGGAAGAGGAGAAUGGAAUUCCCGGUGUAGCGGUGAAAUGCGCAGAUAUCGGGAAGAACACCCGUGGCGAAGGCGGUCUC
rnacentral:rRNA from 1 species